rnacentral:tRNA from 1 species
GCUUGGAUGGCUCAGUUGGUUAGAGCGCAGGUCUCAUACUUCCCGUAUGACCACCACACGGUGGGCAAUCCUGAGGUCGUGAGUUCGAUCCUCACUCCGAGCA